UGUCCUCAGUGUGCCAGGUUCAAAUGCCUUUGUAGAAAGGAUUUUCUCUCUGAUGACCAUUAAAUGGUCAGACUCAGAUUCAAGAAACAGAUGCAACACAGAGCUUAUCAAAAAUGAACUUCAAAUAUCUGUCAACUGUGAAUUGGCUUGUAAGGACUUUUCUCUUGCUGCACUAAAGGACAAAAGCUUGAAUCGGCUAAGAGCAGCCAAAAAUAUUGACUUGAUGGCGCCAUGUAUCAUCAUAACACACCAUGGCAGGCUGCAGACUCCUGACAUCACCAACUAUGGCAGGCAUAUCCAUGGUAACACGGAUGAUUCCGAGCUUGGAAUUUGGCUCGAACCCAGAACACCCCCCCCAAACUGGGAAUGAAACCAGCCAAGAAUGAGGUGAUAGGAAGUGGAGGGAUGCUGCGAAACUUGUCGCAGGAUAGAGAGACGGUGGGUGACAGAUGGGUUCGGGACAUCCGGCCGAGAGUCGGGAUUUAAGGAAGCAGCUAAUCUAAAACCAAAACAGCAGUUGGCAGGUACCACCCCACCACCCCACCCAUGAGAAGCUGAGUGAUUAGAGGCGUCCAGAAUGGCCGAGAGCACCUGGAGAGGAUUAGAGACAAGAACACACACCUACAUAAAGCACUCUGUUCUCUAGGCCACUGCUUUGUUGGCACUUUUUGGGAUUAGCGGCGACUUCCCAUAACACACCUGAACAUCAGCGUGGGACUGAUGACCAUUCGCUUACAUAAAGGCUUACAGACAGGAAGAUAUGAUGACAUAAGUGGACUAAGCGUGUAUUAUCCUUCCUAUGUGUCAUAAAAAUGAAGUAACCCGAAGUCUGAAACAUGGUUAUUGCAUUAUGCAAUGAGUGGAGGAUCUGAUAAGACUAAGUGGUUUGAGAAAAAAAAAAAAUGUUAAUUAAUUUUAUGAAGCUUGCAUGAUGUUGAAUGUGGUAUAACAAAAAGAUUUAUCAGUCUGAUCAACAAUAUUUAUCAUUUAAAUAAAUUAAUUUAACAUCUACAAUGGCAACCCGCAUACAGCGUGUAAAAUAAGUAUUGCACACGUCACCAUUUUUUUGUAAAUAUAUUUUAAUAUUAAUUUAUGGACAUCUAUGGUU